GUGUAUUUGUUUAUCCUGCAUAACUACUUGUUAUUAUGUUAUUAUCCUAGUGGGGAGUUGUUAAAUUGUCUGAUAUUCCUGCCUAGUUAGUUCAGACCUGAUUACAGCGUGUACACACCCACUUUUUGCACUGCAUCUGUAUUAAUUAUAAUAGAGGAUGACUCUAAUAUUCUGACAGCUGACACCAGCUUUUUUAUGAGUGUAUUGGCUUGUCUUAACAUGCCCAGAUAAAGACUGAAAGCUGAUAUAGGUGGAUAUUAUUCAUUUGUGGGUUUUGUGCUUUUAUGUGUGACAGGUGUGUGAGCAGAUUGCGUGCACAUUUAAACAAGUGUGUGACUUACCUCCAGCUGUUCUUUCUGCACGGUGAUCUGACUGUAGACACGACCGCCUUCUUCUCGGCACACCUCCUUCAGUUCUUCUUUGUUGAGGGAAAACAGUUGGGCUCCAGUCAAGAUUCCCAAACAUUCAACAGACAGUUUGGAGUAUUUUUUCCUCUG